rnacentral:rRNA from 1 species
UAGUCUGGUGCCAGCAGCCGCGGUAAUUCCAGCUCCAAUAGCGUAUAUUAAAGUUGUUGCAGUUAAAACGCUCGUAGUCGGAUUUCGGGGCAGGUUUGCCGGUCUGCCGAUGGGUAUGCACUGGUAGAACUGUCCUUCCUUCCGGAGACGGCGCCUACUCUUAACUGAGCGGGUGUCGGAGACGGAUCGUUUACUUUGAAAAAAUCAGAGUGUUUCAAGCAGGCAGCUCGCUUUUGCAUGGAUUAGCAUGGGAUAAUGAAAUAGGACUUUGGUGCUAUUUUGUUGGUUUCGAACACCGAAGUAAUGAUUAACAGGGACAGUCAGGGGCACUCGUAUUCCGCCGAGAGAGGUGAAAUUCUUAGACCAGCGGAAGAUGAACCACUGCGAAAGCAUUUGCCAGGGAUGUUUUCACUGAUCAAGAACGAAAGUUAGGGGAUCGAAGACGAUCAGAUACCGUCGUAGUCUUAACCAUAAACCAUGCCGACUAGGGAUUGGAGGAUGUUCCUAUGUGACUCCUUCAGCACCUUUCGGGAAACUAAAGUCUUUGGGUUCCGGGGGGAGUAUGGUCGCAAGGCUGAAACUUAAAGGAAUUGACGGAAGGGCACCACCAGGAGUGGAGCCUGCGGCUUAAUUUGACUCAACACGGGGAAACUUACCAGGUCCAGACAUUGUGAGGAUUGACAGAUUGAGAGCUCUUUCUUGAUUCGAUGGGUGGUGGUGCAUGGCCGUUCUU